rnacentral:rRNA from 1 species
AGUGAACGCUGGCGGUAGGCCUAACACAUGCAAGUCGAACGGCAGCACAGUAAGAGCUUGCUCUUACGGGUGGCGAGUGGCGGACGGGUGAGGAAUACAUCGGAAUCUACUUUUUCGUGGGGGAUAACGUAGGGAAACUUACGCUAAUACCGCAUACGACCUACGGGUGAAAGCAGGGGAUCUUCGGACCUUGCGCGAUUGAAUGAGCCGAUGUCGGAUUUGCUAGUUGGCGGGGUAAAGGCCCACCAAGGCGACGAUCCGUAGCUGGUCUGAGAGGAUGAUCAGCCACAUUGGAACUGAGACACGGUCCAGACUCCUAAGGGAGGCAGCAGUGGGGAAUAUUGGACAAAGGGCGCAAGCCUGAUCCAGCCAUACCGCGUGGGUGAAGAAGGCCUUCGGGUUGUAAAGACCUUUUGUUGGGAAAGAAAAGCAGCAGGUUAAUACCCCGCUGUUCUGACGGUACCCAAAGAAUAAGCACCGGCUAACUUCGUG